GACGAACCGAGCGAACGUUGUUCGGAAUCACUGGGCUUAAAGGGCGCGUAGGCGGGUGCUCAAGUCCGUGGUGAAAUCCUCCGGCUCAACCGGAGAACUGCCAUGGAUACUGGGUGUCUCGAGGGUGAUAGGGGUAUGCGGAACUAUCGGUGGAGCGGUGAAAUGCGUUGAUAUCGAUAGGAACUCCGGUGGCGAAGGCGGCAUACUGGAUCACAUCUGACGCUGAGGCGCGAAAGCCAGGGGAGCAAACGGG
rnacentral:rRNA from 2 species